rnacentral:rRNA from 1 species
CUCGCGUCUGAUUAGCUAGUUGGCGGGGUAACGGCCCAUCAAGGCGACGAUCAGUAGCUGGACUGAGAGGUUGAACGGCCACAUUGGGACUGAGACACGGGCCAGACUCCUACGGGAGGCAGCAGUGGGGAAUAUUGAGCAAUGGGGGAAACCCUGACGCAGCAACGCCGCGUGAUGAAGAAGGCCUUCGGGUUGUAAAGAUCUUUAAUUCGGGUCGAAAAAAAUGACGGUACCGAAAGAAUAAGCUCCGGCUAACUACGUGCCAGCAGCCGCGGUAAUACGUAGGGAGCAAGCGUUAUCCGGAUUUACUGGGUGUAAAGGGCGCGCAGGCGGGCUUGCAAGUUGGGAGUGAAAUCCCGGGGCUCAACCCCGGAACUGCUUUCAAAACUGUGAGUCUUGAGUGAUGGAGAGGCAGGCGGAAUUCCCAGUGUAGCGGUGAAAUGCGUAGAUAUUGGGAGGAACACCAGUGGCGAAGGCGGCCUGCUGGACAUUAACUGACGCUGAGGCGCGAAAGCGUGGGGAGCAAACAGGAUUAGAUACCCUGGUAGUCCACGCCGUAAACGAUGGAUACUAGGUGUGGGGGGUAUUGACCCCCUCCGUGCCGCAGUUAACACAAUAAGUAUCCCACAAGGGGAGUACGGCCGCAAGGUGAAA